UGCUCAGUAACACGUGGACAACCUGCCCUGAGGACUGGAAUAAUCCCGGGAAACUGGGGGUAAUUCCAGAUAUGUCAGAACUCCUGGAAUGGGUUCUGGCAGAAAGGCUCCGGCGCCUCAGGAUGGGUCUGCGGCCUAUCAGGGUAGUAGUGGGUGUAACGUACCUACUAGCCUACGACGGGUACGGGUUGUGAGAGCAAGAGCCCGGAGAUGGAUUCUGAGACAUGAAUCCAGGCCCUACGGGGUGCAGCAGGCGCGAAAACUUUACAAUGCGGGCAACCGCGAUAAGGGGACCUCGAGUGCUGGGUUACAAACCUGGCUGUUGGGCUGCCUAAAAAGCAGUCUAUAGCAAGGGCCGGGCAAGACCGGUGCCAGCCGCCGCGGUAACACCGGCGGCUCGAGUGGUAACCGCUAUUAUUGGGUCUAAAGGGUCUGUAGCCGGCCGACUAAGUCUCUUGGGAAAUCUGGCAUCUCAAGUGUCAGGCUGCCAGGGGAUACUGGUCGGCUUGGGACCGGGAGAGGUGAGAGGUACCUCGGGGGUAGGGGGUGAAAUCUUGUAAUCCUCGAGGGACCACCAGUGGCGAAGGCGUCUCACCAGAACGGAUCCGACGGCAAGGGACGAAAGCUAGGGGCACGAACCGGAUUAGAUACCCGGGUAGUCCUAGCCGUAAACGAUACUCGCUAGGUGUCGGCCACGGUGCGACCGUGGUCGGUGCCGUAGGGAAGCCGUGAAGCGAGCCACCUGGGAAGUACGGCCGCAAGGCUGAAACUUAAAGGAAUUGGCGGGGGA
rnacentral:rRNA from 1 species